GAUGAAGAACGUAUCAAAAUGCGAUAAGUAGUGUGAAUUGCAGAAUUCAGUGAAUCAUCGAAUCUUUGAACGCACAUUGCGCCCUUUGGUAUUCCAAAGGGCAUGCCUGUUCGAGCGUCAUUUGUACCCUCAAGCUUUGCUUGGUGUUGGGCGUCUUGUCUCUAGCUUUGCUGGAGACUCGCCUUAAAGUAAUUGGCAGCCGGCCUACUGGUUUCGGAGCGCAGCACAAGUCGCACUCUCUAUCAGCAAAGGUCUAGCAUCCAUUAAGCCUUUUUUUCAACUUUUGACCUCGGAUCAGGUAGGGAUACCCGCUGAACUUAAGCAUAUCAAUAAGCGGAGGA
rnacentral:misc_RNA from 1 species